rnacentral:lncRNA from 1 species
ACAUGUUCAAAAUUGUCGAAUUUGUUGAGUCACAUGAGGUGGAGCUGGUUCCAGCCAUUUGGGUGGAGAAUGGCCAGUGCUAUUGGCCUAAUUCACUGAGGGGUAUGGCCCUUCACCUGGCCAUUAAAAACAAGACACCUCCUAACUGUGACUGGGGAAGUUGGGAAGUCUGAACAAUAUUUUUAACAGGUAAAUUUUACAUUUUCAUGCUAGGUUUCACUUUUUCUUCCACAUUAUUGUAACUUUAUUUAUUCUUGAUCAUAAGUUAAUUGUUAUUUAAUGUGGGAUCAUAGAAUUCUGUAGUCCAUUAUUAGAUUAUAUUGUCCACUCAGCAGCCUAACAGACCAUUUUUAGGCUCAGCACUGUGUUUCAUAUGUUGUAUGUGUAAUUCGUAAGAUUAGCCUAGUGAAGUACUAAGUUUUUAUCUAAUUGAGUGAUCCUGAAGAAAUUUUGAAAACGUUAAAUUCAACUGAAUUUUGCAGACAGCUAUGAAGAGGGCAGAAGGAAGGCUAAAGAGGCAGAGACCUGGUCAGACCUCCAGUCAGACGCAGAAAUGUCUGGACAGAAACCACCAAGGCGUAAAAUGUACAGAUAUUUGUUCAGCAUGUCACUGGUGCUGUUUCUUGAUGCGUUCAGGCUGUAUUUAAAGACCUGUUUUCCAGAUUUAUUUUUUAGAAUUAGCAAGAACAAGGCGAUUUAGAAGUUUACAUUUCAUUUUGAUUAAUUAAUUUUUUGUUUAAAAUAGGAAGAGUGUUUGAAUUGGCUCACCUGGAGGUUGCUUACUGGAUUCAGAAGAGGAGUCUGGCCCACCCCCCAAGCAACGUCUUCCACCUGCCCCCACUGUAAACCUCCCUGUAGUCAUCCCAAACACCACUUUCACCCCUGUUCCAAUCACCACAUUGCCAGCAGCAGCAGCACCACCAUCACCACCACCACAAGGGUCAUAUACAGAGAUGUUGCAAAAUUGGCAGCCGAUGGACGAAGUCCCACCGCUGCGGAGUUGUCAGACGUUCCGAAUUGCCCCCCAGCAAUCAUCAGAACCAGCCCUGCUGAGGGAGGUUUUAACAAAAUUAGAGAUGGUGCUGGACCAGCAAACCACCAUCCUCAGAUUGUUGCAGCUGCGGGAAGACCAGGGACAGCUUUUGGACAUUGAGGAAGGUUUGCUGCCCCUGCAAGACCUUCCACGACUGCUCAGCCUUGAGCAAAGGAUUCAGCAGAGCCCAGAUUACAAGCAAAAACUGGUAAGAUGCUUUCUUGUUUUUUUUUUUUUUUUUUUUUUUUUUUACAAUUGUUUGCACAAUUACACGGUUACUGAUCUUUUGUUUUGUUUUAACUGGUACACAAAUUAGGGCUAUAAUGAUACGCUCUCUGGAAUCAAUCUUGUCGUAAUUCUUGGGUGCCUAAUUGUUAUGCAAUUAACCAUGUAUAUAACCAUACCAGGUAUGGGCAAACUUGCUCCUGGAGCGCCGAUAUCCCUGCAGAGUUUAGCUCCAACCCUAGUAUAUAUCACAUGCCUAUAGCCUUCCAGUAAUCCUGAAGACACUGAUUAGUGUGUUCAGAUGUGUUUGAUCAGGGUUGGAGCUAAACCCUCCAGGACCCAGGCUGUAAGGGUGGUUUCUCUACAGUGGUUCAGGCUGUAGGAUAGCCAAAGGACUAAGAAGCGUUAUCAGGACAAUGGUAUAAAACUGUGCAUUUCUCGUCUAUUACCACACACUGCCACUUAUACCAACAUUGGAAAUAAGUGCCGUUAGAAUAGCUAAAUAUGUGGGAGAGCGUUGAGGGAGUAUAUUGUAUUGCAACUUCACUAUUAACCUUAAAUCACUAGUUAGAGAGGGAGAAAAAGAGGGAGAGAAAGCAGAGCCCCAAGAAUAGCUCCAGCAAAGAAAGGAGGCAGCAAAGGAAAGUGACAGAGCAACAGUUACAAUCUUCUUUUAUCCCUUCUUUGGCCAUGUGUAUAAAAACCAAAUGUGAGACAUUCAAACUGACUAAUCAGCAGAGUACAGCUUCACCCACUGUGCAAAAGUUGACAAUCAGAAGACCAUCGAUGUGUACACAUGUUGAAACAGGACUUGAUCACUGUCAGCACCUCUGUGCCUUCAGGAAUGGCACUUGUAGUAAUAGAAAGGGGGUGGAAACAGCAAAACUAAUUUCUUUGUCCAAUUUCAAAUAUCUUUGGAUAAUUUCCUGACCGUUUUUAUAACAACCUUUCUUUAAUUAUAUAUUUUUGUACUUUAAUUAAUUGUUGAAAUAUACAUAUUUAAACAGUGGAUAUACAAAAAUGUUUUGUUGAGAAUUUUUUUUCUUUUUUUAAUUCUGUUUCAGAUAAACUGUUUGGGGCUUAUUGGUGGGGCAGACGUGCGCAACUGCACCUGGCGCAUAUUAAAGAGGUUGAUUGCCAACUCUCUGGCGAAGAACCUUAAUUGGAGAAGAGUCAAUGGAAAGACUUCAGUGGCCACUCUUCAACUCCGAGAGGUUGUGAUUGGUAAGGAGACAGUAUCCCCCGAUUUUACAGACAAGUCUUAAGCCUAGUCCCGGACUAAAAUGUAAUUCUGAGCUAUUUCAACUGAAAGAAACUUGUACUGACUGAUCUUUAAAUAUAUCAGUGCCUUUGUUUUGUCUCAAGCUGCAUAACAAUUAUUUUUUUAUUAAGUCACAUUUAUAAAAAAAAUUGCUUAGAUGUCCUAAUUGAACUAUGGACUAAUCCUGACUUAGUCUAAGCCCUGACUGUGAAACCAGGCCUAUAUAUGUUUACAUACAAAGUUAGCUAUUUCUGUAGUGGGUACGAGUAAAUGCAGUUUACUUGCUAACACAUUUGCAGUUGUUAUUAUAAUUUUUUUUCUA